GACGACGGUGGCUAGCGUUGUUCGGUGUCACUGGACUUCAAGAGUAUGUAGGCGGAAAAGUAAGCGUUUUGUGAAAUCCCUCAGCUUAACUGAGGAAUUGCUUGGCGAACUGCUUUUCUUGAGGCAAGUAGAGGGUCAUGGAACUCUUGGUGGAGCGGUGGAAUGCGUAGAUAUCAAGAGGAACGCCGGUGGUGAAGACGGUGCACUGGGUUUGUCCUGACGCUAAGAAACGAAAGCGUGGGUAGCAAACAGG
rnacentral:rRNA from 1 species